UGGAAUCCUGGGAGGCACAGGGAUUGAAAAGGAAGCCCCGGGCAGGCCUACUAAGGGCCAAUCCUGGACUCGAUGGAAUGUGGCCGAUACGCAGGAAAUAAAGAAACCGAAUGUUGCCAGCCUCCAUCUAGAGAUCAUUCAGUGGCCCUUCUCAGACACCCCCUGCACAGAGUAGCCCCAACAGCGAGGGCUGUUCACCCUGGGCCUGCCACGGUGCUAAAUCAGCGCUUUGCACUGACUGACUCCGUGAGGCAGGGAGCAUUGUUAGAGAUCUGGAACCGAGCCCAGAGAGGUGAAGUGAGCUGCACAAGGUCACACAGCUGGCAAGUGCCAGAAACCGGACUUCCAACCCAGUUAGGACUCCACAUCCCUAAAUUCCGUACCUUCACCUGCCUCUAAAGAAAGGAACAAAAGAAAAAGAGAACCCAGCAGAGCAGAAACAAGGCUAAAAUCUACCAAGAGCAACUGACUGAUCGGUGUUUUCUUUUAGGAGACCGACUCCACUGAGAGAAGUUUUAAGUACUGAAGGAUAGAGGUGGGAUACCUUCAGCUCAGACUCAUUUAAGGCCCGGAGAAAGCUCCUCUCUCCCUACAAACCUCCACCAAGAUGUUAAGGGGAACUCUCUGCCAUCUCCAAAAUCAGGAUUUUAGGGGCGCCUGGGUGGCUCAGUCGGUUAAGCAGCCGACUUCGGCUCAGGUCAUGAUCUCGUGGUCCGUGAGUUCGAGCCCCGUGUCAGGCUCUGUGCUGACAGCUCAGAGCCUGGAGCCUGUUUCGGAUUCUGUGUCUCCCUCUCUCUGACCCUCCCCCGUUCAUGCUUGGUCUCUCUGUCUCAAAAAUAAAUAAACGUUAAAAAAAAAAUUGUUUUUUUAAUAAAAUAAAAAAAAAUAAAAUCAGGUUUUUAUAUUCCUUGAAAUCAGUGGUUCUCAAUGAGGGGUGGUUUUGCUCUCACCUCCCCCCCUCCCCCCACCAGGGGAUAUAUGGCAAUGUCUGGAGACUUCUGGGUUGUCACAUUUGGGGGGAGAGGUCCUAGUGGCAUCUAGUGGGCAGAGGGGAGACCAGGGACGUUGCUAACCAUCCCCCAACAAGGAUCUAUGCUAUCCACAACGUCCACAGUGCUGAGGUAGGGAAACCUUGGCUUGAAUGCAAAGGAAGAAAAAAAUCCAAGCACCCAACCACCGUGGAGCUGGAUGGAAAAGCCAGGACAGGCCUAAACAAGCAGGUUCCGAGGUGAUAUGAAUAAGCAAUGAACUAAUAAAAAUAGACUAAAACAUGUCUCUCUUACUAUUCCCAGGGGAUGGAGAGCCUCAGAGAACAGAAUCAGGCUCACAGAAGCCAGGCAGAGUGUGUCGGUGAUAAAGCUGGCCUCAAAGGAGAGGAAGGGCUGACCCGGCUCCCUUCCCCAGGCACCUCGCCGCCGAGGCCUGGCCUCAUGGAAAUGGCUCUCCACUCCCGCUGGCCAGCAGCCAGGCCAACAGCAGCCUCGGCAAGCUGCAUCCCCAGAUAGCCUCUUCGAGGACUAGGAAAGUAAGUGUACUUGGGAGUUAUCUGCCUUAAGCUAGCAGCAGGCCGCCCCAUCCGUUAGGGGAGGCGGGCGGGAUUGAGGCAGGGAAGUGUUUUAAAUAUCUUUUGUUUUGUUCCUUUUCGGCCAAUCGGAACCGAGGCCAACUUCGGGCAGGGUGACAGAAGGUCUCACCUUCAGAUCAUGGAGCUGAAGGAGUCAUGUUACAGCCACAAAGAGACCCGUGGCGAUGUCAGGAGACGUUUUAGGUUGUCCGAUCUGGAGGAAGGGCGGGUGCUACUGAGAUCCAGAAGAGGCAGGACUGUGCAGUGAUUGAGUACGUGGCAGCUGGCCUCAGACUGUCUGACGUCUGGGUGUGAAUCCAGCUGUCCCACUGGCCUGGGCAGCUAGGCUGGGCAGCCUUGCUUGAGAAAUUGCCGUGCCAUCAAUAAGGGACUGAUUGAGUAAACGUGGUCCUGCCCCACAGACAGAAGACUCUACAGCUGUGGCCCAAGAAUCUGGGAACUCUUACGUACCGAUACGGAACACACUCUAAGACCCAUUCUUGAGUUGAAAAACAAAACAAAACAAGAACAGUAUGUGAAAUAUGUCAUUUAAAAAAAAAAUAGGCAAACCUCUGUGUCUUUUUCUUAACAGGUUUGCUUAUUGGGGAGCUGGCUCAGUUGGGAAAGCAUGCGACUCUUGAUCUCGGGGCUGUGAGUCUGAGCCCCACGUGGGGUGUAGAGAUUACAUAUAGACACAUGUUUGCUUAUUAUGCACUGAAUUUCUUGGAAGCAUACUUAAAAAAUUGCUAACACUUUGCAUCCAAAGGGUCCUGGGUGGCAGGAACGGGAAGGAGAUUUUUUACUGCUGUCUCUUUUGAAUUUCAACCACGCGAAUGUACUACUUCUUCCAAAAUAAAUUAGUAAAUGUAAUAGAGUAUUAGGAAAAUUGUGGAAGACUAUGAAAUAGGCAAAAAAAAAAAAAAAAAAAAAAGAUUAAUGGGUAGCUUGUUCUGGUGCGUUGGGUUACCUGCACUUUUGUUUCUGAGCUUUUCACAGCUCAGCCACUGGUAGAAAACCAAUAGUAAUGCAAAAGACGCUUGUCCAUAGACAUGCAAAUUAAGUCCCUGGAAUGCGAUGGAUUACUGCCUGGUGGAUCUGGGGGAGUUUUGCUAGUUUUCGCAUCUAUUCAUAAAUGCAUGUCAGCAUGCCUUGUAUGAGCCCUGCUCUGACUCCGUCUUUGAAUCGGUCGUCCGAUCAUCAUCCGUGCGUCCUCAUGAAUAAUGAGUUACGUAAAAUACAUAAAACAGGUUCAUUUUAUAUUUGUAUGUAGCUGGUUAAAAUGAAUUAUUUUAAAUCGUAAUUUCUUUUAAAAGAAAAACAAUGGGGCGCCUGGGUGGCUCAGUCGGUUAAGCGGCCGACUUCGGCUCAGGUCAUGAUCUCGCGGUCCGUGGGUUCGAGCCCCGCGUCGGGCUCUGUGCUGACAGCUCAGAGCCUGGAGCCUGUUUCGGAUUCUGUGUCUCCCUCUUUCUCUGACCCUCCCCUGUUCAUGCUCUCUCUCUGUCUCAAAAAUAAAUAAAUGUUAAAAAAAAAAUUUUUUUUUUUUAAGU